ACAUGCUGUGAUAAUCCCAAAAAAGUCUUCCUUACUGUGUGUUAACAAGUAUUGGAUAAUUUUUUCUCUAACACCAAUUUUACCCUCAAGACAUUUGCUCGAUUUUGAUGUCAAAUGGGCAAGAUGACAAUCAAAUGUGGAUAAAGAAAAUGUGAUAUAUAUACAUACACACAUGUAUACACACACACAUACAUGCCCCACAGAAUACUACUCAGUAAUAAUAAGAAAUGAAAUAAUGGCAUUCACCGUAACCUAGAUGGAAUUGGAGACUAUUAUUCUAAGAGAAGUAACUCAGGAAUGGUAAACCAAACCUGAGUUAUAUGUUCUCCUCACUCAUAAGUAAUUGGGAGCUAAGCUAUGAGAACACAAAGGCCUAAGAAUCAUACAAUGGACUUUGAGGACUUGGAGAAAAGAGUGGGAGGUGGGUGAGGGAUAAAAGACUACAACAUUGCCUACAGUGUACACUGCUUGGGUGAUUGGUGUACCAAAAUCUCAGAAAUCACAACUAAAUAGCUUAUUUAUGUAACCAAGCACCACCUAUUCCCCAAAAGCCUACUGAAAUAUAAAAA